rnacentral:rRNA from 1 species
UGCCUCAGUAACGGCGAGUGAAGUGGCAACAGCUCAAAUUUGAAAUCUGGCCUUCAGGUCCGAGUUGUAAUUUAUAGAGGAUGCUUUUGGUUAGGUGCCUUCCGAGUUCCCUGGAAUGGGACGCCAUAGAGGGUGAGAGCCCCGUCUGGUCGGAUGCCGAGCCUCUGUAAAGCUCCCUCGACGAGUCGAGUAGUUUGGGAAUGCUGCUCAAAAUGGGAGGUAUAUGUCUUCUAAAGCUAAAUACCGGGCAGAGACCGAUAGCGCACAAGUAGAGUGAUCGAAAGAUGAAAAGCACUUUGAAAAGAGAGUUAAAUAGCACGUGAAAUUGUUAAAAGGGAAGCGUUUAUGACCAGACUUGCGCCGACUGAUCAACCAGCGUUCUCGCUGGUGCACUCUGUCGGCUCAGGCCAGCAUCGGUUCGCCCCGGGGGACAAAAGCUAGGGGAAUGUGGCUCCUCGGAGUGUUAUAGCCCCUAGCAUAAUACCCUGAGGCGGACCGAGGUUCGCGCAUUGCAUGGAUGCUGGCGUAAUGGUCAUCAACGACCCGUCUUGAAACACGGACCAAGGAGUCGUCUUCGUAUGCGAGUGUUCGGGUGUCAAACCCCUACGCGUAAUGAAAGUGAACGCAGGUGAGAGCUUCGGCGCAUCAUCGACCGAUCCUGAUGUUCUCGGAUG